UACGUAGGGUGCAAGCGUUGUCCGGAAUUAUUGGGCGUAAAGAGCUUGUAGGCGGUUUGUCGCGUCUGCCGUGAAAAUUCGAGGCUCAACCUCGAACUUGCGGUGGGUACGGGCAGACUAGAGUGUGGUAGGGGAGACUGGAAUUCCUGGUGUAGCGGUGAAAUGCGCAGAUAUCAGGAGGAACACUGAUGGCGAAGGCAGGUCUCUGGGCCACUACUGACGCUGAGAAGCGAAAGCAUGGGGGAGCGAACAGG
rnacentral:rRNA from 1 species